UCUUAAGCUUUGCUCAGAGACAACUCCAGCGCCAGAGUAUUCCCUUGCCUACAUGUGCCUCCAUGUGCCAUCAGUGCUCUGCCCAGCCACUGCCACGCUGCCACACUCAGGCACCGGACUCUCAUACAGCCUCCACUGCCUCUCCUCAUGUCUACAGCCCUCGCGUCUCACUGGAUCCCCCUCACACGCCCUGGACCCUGAACCCUGAAGUCCCCCCUCCCUACUCCUGUGUUUCCUCAAUAAAACCUGUAAAACUGCUUCCUCUGUCUCCGGCUCUGCUCCUGGGUUCAACUUGCAAACUACUGAUAACUCAAAUCAUCACACUCUACAUCUCUUGACCCCUACCAUCAUCCCUUCAUCCCUUUACCCAUAAUCUCAUCCUUACAUAUACCUUCAUCCAUUGACCUUUUCCUCAAACCUUGUUGCUCUGAAUCUUUUUAGCUUUUGUACAGUGUUUGAACUUUGUUUUUUAAAGAAAAAUGCUUUACAAAUAAAAUGUA